AGUAGCGUAAUCAAUAGCCAAUUAAUUGUUGGCCGGUAUGAAUGGCAUCACGAAGGCCCCACUGUCUUAAGAGGACUCUCCAUGAAAUUGAAUUCGUAGUGAAGAUGCUACGUCCAUAUUGUAAGACGAAAAGACCCCAUUGAGCUUUACUAAAGACUUGUAUGGCUCGAAAUAACUUAAAUAAAAAGUUUAGAUAAUGUGGGAUCCGUUUUUGGUUAAUGAAACACCACUCUUUUAUUUUAAGAGAGCUAACCUUGUAGGGAGAAUGCAAGUUGGAUAGUUUGGUUGGGGCGACCACCUUUUAAAAGGUAACGAAGGUGAGCUUAAGGUCCGUAGUUAAUAGCUAGUGGCCUGACUGCAAGGGGGACAUCCCGAGCAGACACUGGUAAUCUCUCAGUGGGUUAUAGUGACCCGUCAUCUUAGAGUGGAAUAGUUGACGAUCAACGAAUAAAA
rnacentral:rRNA from 1 species